UAUCAGAGGGGGAUAACCCGGCGAAAGUCGGACUAAUACCGCAUAAAGCAGGGAUCCCGCAUGGGAAAUUUGCUAAAGAUUCAUCGCUGAUAGAUAGGCAUGCGUUCCAUUAGGCAGGUGGCGGGGUAACGGCCCACCAAACCGACGAUGGAUAGGGGUUCUGAGAGGAAGGUCCCCCACAUUGGUACUGAGACACGGACCAAACUCCUAC
rnacentral:rRNA from 1 species